AGUUCCUGAAGUGAGUUACAGAAUGAAACAUUGUUACAAACAGAAAAAAGUCAUCUGGUGAACUCUCUAAGCUGGAACCAGUCAUGGCAGAUUGUACUGAAAGACAAAAAUAUGACCAGCUUAGAACAAAAACUGCACAAUAUUGCUGAAAUCAUCAGUCAAAGUAGUAGUAUUAAUGGGAGCGGUAUUCCUGCUCGAUAUCGUCUAAAUCCAAGAACAGACCUUCAUGAUAAA